AAAAAAAAUUCACUACAACUCUUUGAAAUUGUGUGUUAGCUGGUGCAAAAGGCGGACAGCUGCAAUGGCUAUGGCAAUAGCUCUUCGGAGGCUUUCUGCUACAAUUGACAAGCCAGUUAAGAGUCUUUACAAUGGAGGCUCUAUCUAUUACAUGUCAUCACUGCCUAAUGAAGCUGUAUACGACAAGGAAAAAUCCGGAGUAGCUUGGCCAAAGCAACUGAAUGCUCCACUAGAGGUUGUUGAUCCUGAGAUUGCCG
rnacentral:misc_RNA from 1 species